rnacentral:rRNA from 1 species
UCGCUACUACCCGAUUGAAUGGCUCAGUGAGGCUUCGGACUGGCUCAGGAGGGUUGGCAACGACCCACCAGAGCCGGAAAGUUGGUCAAACUCGGUCAUUUAGAGGAAGUAAAAGUCGUAACAAGGUUUCCGUAGGUGAACCUGCGGAAGGAUCAUUAC